rnacentral:rRNA from 1 species
AUUGAGCGCUGGCGGCAUGCCUUACACAUGCAAGUCGAACGGUAACAGGUCUUCGGAUGCUGACGAGUGGCGAACGGGUGAGUAAUACAUCGGAACGUGCCUAGUAGUGGGGGAUAACUACUCGAAAGAGUGGCUAAUACCGCAUGAGAUCUACGGAUGAAAGCAGGGGAUCGCAAGACCUUGUGCUACUAGCGCGGCCGAUGGCAGAUUAGGUAGUUGGUGGGAUAAAAGCUUACCAAGCCGACGAUCUGUAGCUGGUCUGAGAGGACGAUCAGCCACACUGGGACUGAGACACGGCCCAGACUCCUACGGGAGGCAGCAGUGGGGAAUUUUGGACAAUGGGCGCAAGCCUGAUCCAGCAAUGCCGCGUGCAGGAUGAAGGCCUUCGGGUUGUAAUCUGCUUUUGUACGGAACGAAAAGCCCUGGGUUAAUACCCUGGGGUCAUGACGGUACCGUAAGAAUAAGCACCGGCUAACUACGUGCCAGCCGCCGCGGUAA